CUGCAUGGCUGUGCUAUCGUGGGCAUCUGAAAAAGAUGGUCAAGGAAAGUCCGGACAGCGCAGGGCAACGCACCGGUUAACCGCCGGGUCCCGUUUCUGACGGGAACAGAUAGUGCCACAGAAAAUAACCGUCGCGCCGCAGGCGUGAUAAGGGUGAAAAUGUGAGGUAAGAGCUCACGAUAUCAUGGGGUAACCUGUGAUAUGGGUAAACCUUGCGUGCUGAAAUGCUAUGUAUACCCCGAUCUUUUGCCUGCCCGGCAAAAUUCCCCCGGGAUAUCGGGGAGGGUAAGCAGAUAGAUCCCGGCAGCAAUGCCGGGGCCAGAUAAAUGAUAGCACCCGACAGAAUCCGGCUUACAGGUCAUGCAGUAAA
rnacentral:RNase_P_RNA from 2 species